rnacentral:rRNA from 1 species
AGAGUUUGAUCAUGGCUCAGAAUCAACGCUGGCGGCGCGCUUAACACAUGCAAGUCGAACGAGAAAGGGGAGCAAUCCCUGAGUACAGUGGCGUACGGGUGAGUAACACGUGGAUAAUCUACCCUUGGGUGGGGAAUAACCCUGGGAAACCGGGGCUAAUACCGCAUAAGUCCGGGAGGAGAAAGCCGAAAGGCGCCGGAGGAGGAGUCCGCGGCCGAUUAGCUAGUUGGUGAGGUAAAGGCUCACCAAGGCAAAGAUCAGUAUCCGGCCUGAGAGGGCGGACGGACACACUGGGACUGAGACACGGCCCAGACUCCUACGGGAGGCAGCAGUGGGGAAUUGUUCGCAAUGGGCGCAAGCCUGACGACGCAACGCCGCGUGGAGGAUGAAGAUCUUCGGGUCGUAAACUCCUUUCGAUCGAGACGAACGGCCCUUGGGCUAACACCCUGAGGGAGUGACGGUACCGAGAGAAGAAGCCCCGGCUAACUCCGUGCCAGCAGCCGCGGUAAUACGGGGGGGGCAAGCGUUGUUCGGAAUUACUGGGCGUAAAGGGCUCGUAGGCGGCCAACUAAGUCAUACGUGAAAUCCCUCGGCUUAACCGGGGAACUGCGUCUGAUACUGGAUGGCUUGAGUUCGGGAGAGGGAUGCGGAAUUCCAGGUGUAGCGGUGAAAUGCGUAGAUAUCUGGAGGAACACCGGUGGCGAAGGCGGCAUCCUGGACCGAUACUGACGCUGAGGAGCGAAAGCCAGGGGAGCAAACGGGAUUAGAUACCCCGGUAGUCCUGGCCCUAAACGAUGAAUGCUUGGUGUGGCGGGUAUCGAUCCCUGCCGUGCCGAAGCUAACGCAUUAAGCAUUCCGCCUGGGGAGUACGAUCGCAAGGCUGAAACUCAAAUGAAUUGACGG